CCUACGGGAGGCAGCAGUCGAGAAUCAUUCACAAUGGGGGAAACCCUGAUGGUGCGACGCCGCGUGGGGGAAUGAAGGUCUUCGGAUUGUAAACUCCUGUCAUGUGGGAGCAAAUUAAAAAGAUAGUACCAUAAGAGGAAGAGACGACUAACACUGUGCGAGCAGCCGCGGUAAUACAGAGGGCUCAAGCGUUGUUCGGAAUCACUGGGCGUAAAGCGUGUGUAGGCUGUUUCGUAAGUCGGGUGUGAAAGCCACGGGCUUAACCCGCGGACGGCACAUGAUACUGCGAGACUAGAGUAAUGGAGGGGGAAGCGGAAUUCUCGGUGUAGCAGUGAAAUGCGUAGAUAUCGGGAGGAACACUCAUGGCGAAGGCUGGUUCGUGGACAUUAACUGACGCUGAGGCGCGAAGGCCAGGGGAGCAAAAGGGAUUAGAUACCCGUGUAGUC
rnacentral:rRNA from 1 species